UACGUAGGUGGCGAGCGUUGUCCGGAAUUACUGGGUGUAAAGCGCGUGUAGGCGGCAGGCCAAGUCGGUGGUGAAAGCGCCCGGCUCAACUGGGCGAGGUCCAUGGAAACUGGUCAGCUGGAGGACGGUAGAGGCGAGUGGAAUUCCCGGUGUAGUGGUGAAGUGCGUAGAGAUCGGGAGGAACACCUGUGGCGAAGGCGGCUCGCUGGGCCGGUCCUGACGCUGAAACGCGAAGGCGUGGGGAGCGAACGGG
rnacentral:rRNA from 1 species